rnacentral:rRNA from 1 species
GAUGAACGCUAGCGGCAGGCCUAACACAUGCAAGUCGAGGGGUAACAGAGUUUGCUUGCAAACUGCUGACGACCGGCGCACGGGUGCGGAACGCGUAUGGAACCUGCCCCUGUCAGGGGAAUAGCCCAGAGAAAUUUGGAUUAAUGCCCCAUGGUAUCGAGAUACUGCAUGGUAUUUUGAUUAAAGAUUUAUCGGACAGGGAUGGCCAUGCGUACCAUUAGUCAGAUGGUGAGGUAACGGCUCACCAUAACAACGAUGGUUAGGGGCCCUGAGAGGGGGAUCCCCCACACUGGUACUGAGACACGGACCAGACUCCUACGGGAGGCAGCAGUGAGGAAUAUUGGACAAUGGUCGGGAGACUGAUCCAGCCAUGCCGCGUGCAGGAUGACUGCCCUAUGGGUUGUAAACUGCUUUUAUACGGGAAGAAACGCACCUACGAGUAGGUGUCUGACGGUACCGUGAGAAUAAGGACCGGCUAACUCCG